AGAUGAAAACUGGAGACAAAAUGCAUGAGACCAACAUUGUAGAGAAAGACUUUUUUCCAACUGAACUGAGUGUAAAUCCAGAUAUUUCUUGCAAGUGCAUCAACCAGUGGCCAAUCUGAAAUUUGGGCAAUGUUCCAUUGUGAAGAGUUUAUGUUUCAUGUCUUUGGUACCUUAAUUGGGCCUCCAGCCAGAAAUUUGUGACUGUAAUUUCCUCACUCUACUAUGGACUUCUCAAUGGUGGCUGCAUCUGUAAGACAGUGAAGCAGGAGGAAAGAGAGCAAGGAGGAAAGAAAAAGCAAAGGGUUUGGUCCACCUUCUUAGAAUCACAGCUGUAUCAAAUGGAGAGGAUGGUUCACCUCCCUCAGGAUUUCAGCUAUUAGGUGUCAUAGUUGCCACAGCCCUGCCAUCUUGAGAUUGCCUGAGGUCUGAGGCAUACCAGAAGAGAAUGGAGUAUUUUCAUAUUCUCCCUCUGUGUUAGGAGCUCAUUUUCCUACUCAAACCAGAGCUAGACUGCCUCUCCUGGAGCUCUCUCUGUCUCUGCCCUAAGGGAUGCUCAAUACAGGUUUCUAGGUAUGUUGUAUUCUGGGUACCGAUACUGCAGGUUGGAGGAGAUGUAAAUUCAACACUGGUUGAUUUGGUGGUAACUUGAAUUCUGGUGUUCUCAAUAUGAUUCCUUCUACUAGAUAGUUUUUCUUUUAUUUAUUUGCUUUUUAGGCCCACACCUGAGGCAUAUAUAAGUUCCCAAGCUAGGGGUGAAAUCAGAGCUACUGCUGCCAGCCUAUGCCACAGCCAUAGCAACUUGGAAUAUGAGCCACAUCUGCGAUCUACACCACAGCUCACGGCAAUACCAGAUUCCCGGCCAACUGGGUGAGGCCAGGGAUCGAACCUGCAUCCUCAUGGAUACUGGUCAGACUCAUUUCCACUGUACCACAAUGGUAGCUCCUACUAGAUAGUUUUUAGAGUCUUUAAGUAGCUGUUGGAUGCAUUCUGUCCAGAUUUGAUAUUUACAUUUAGUAGGGGAGACACUAUGUGGUGUGCUAAUUCCACUUACAUUGAACCAUAAUCACCCAUUUGUUGGGUGUUUGUUGAAUACUUUCUAUUCAUAGGCACUGACCUAGAUUCUGGUGGUACAAUGGCAAGCAAAAAGACAAGGCUCUGUCCCAGAUGAAGCUUACCAUUAAAUGACAAAAGAUUUUUAUUAAUCAUCCUUCCUUUUUUAACACAACUUUUUUUGCCUUUGGCCUUUUUCAAAUCAGUGCCCACCUCCCAAUAAGGUUUUUUGAUUGGUCUAUCCUCUUCUACUCAGAAAUACUCAUGGAUAUCUAAAUUUUAUAGUUGAGACCUAACCUGAGACUUCUAUUCUGUUCUGUAAGGUAUAUAAAUUUAUCAUCACGACCUAACAGAGAAAACUACCUUCUAAAAGACUUCAAAGACUUCAGAUGUCCGGUAGGAAAUAAGAGGCAUAGAAAUCAUUGCUCCCAUCUAUACAGGAAAAAAAAAAAGGCUGAAAAAACUAAAAAUCAACAUUAUCUCCUUAAAUCAAUCAGAGAAUCAGAGAGCUGUGGUUACAUGGAAAACAACUGCCCUCAUGGGAAUUCCUGUCAUGGCUCAGUGGUUAAUGAAUCUGACUAGGAACCAUAACAUUGCAAGUUCAGUCCUUAGCCUUGCUCAGUGGGUUAAGGAUCUGGCAUUGUCAUGAGCUGUGGUGUAGGUCACAGACGCUGCUCGGAUCCCACAUUGCUGUGGCUCUGGCAUAGGCUGGUGGCUACAACUCUGAUUAGACCCCUAGCCUGGGAACCUCCAUAUGCUGUGGUGCAGCCCUAGAAAAGACAAAAAACAAAAAACAAAAACAAAAACAAAACCCCAAAAAACACAACUGCCCUCAUGAAGAGAGAUACUGCUGGAUACAGAGACCACACUUACUGGAGCAGAAGACCAGGAAUAGGAAACUCCACAGGAUUCAGUACAGGUUCCUUUUACCCAGUAUAUCUUCUCUGGCUUUGUGUUCUGACACCAAUUGGGUGUCUUACAAUUCACUUCAACUCUGACACUAGCUAGUUGCAAGUCGCAUCAGAUUCCACAAAUUAAAGAGCAAGGUCCUCAAUAAGACUGCCUUUACUUCAGACGCCAGCCACCAGUGAGUUCUCCAGGCUACUCACACUUCUGCCUGGCUGACUACAAAUUGGAGCUUUCCCACAACCCCCUAGGGCUGCACCCAUGGCAUACGGAGGUUCCCAGACUAGGGGUUGAAUCAGAGCUGCAGCUGCCGACCUCUGCCACAGCCACAGCAAUGUCAAAUCCAAGCCACAUCUGUGACCUACACCACAGCUCAUGGCAACGUUGGAACCUUAACCCACUGAGCAAAGCCAAGGAUCAAAGCUGUGUCCUCAUGGAUACUAGUUGGAUUUGUUUCCACUGAGCCACAAUGGGAACUCUGGAUUUUUCACCAUAAGAAGAGAGAAACCCAGCAGUUGCUACAUUCUGCUGAAUGGCAUCUAUAAUUACCUUAACAUUCACAGCAGGACAAUGAUCAGAGAGUAAGCCAAUGCCUUCUGUGACUUGUAAGAACUGUGAAAAUAGGGAUUUUAAAAUUAGAGGUGGAAAGAAUUUUAAAGCUCUAUAAAGUUAAUAACUAUAAAGUUAAUAACUCCACUUCAAAAUAUAUCAAGCAAGAGUGAUGUCAGAGAAGACGGCAGAGUAGAAAGCUCCUGGAAUCUCUACCUCCACUUAAACAACUAUUGAACUGACAGAAACUCUCUAAAGUAAAUAAUUUGAUACUCUGGAGUCUAGGUGAAAAGUUGAUCUCAGUGAGCUUUAGCUUUCCUAUUCAGCAGUGGCUACCAUCUUCACACCUCAUUAUAGUAGGGAGCCAAGGGACUGCUGUCUGUGUUCUUAAUGUAGCUUUCUAGAGCCAAGGUUAGCAUUGAGGACAUGGUUCUCCAAAUAUUGAGGUUACGUGUUAUUUCUGAUUGCUACUUUCAUUGAUAAGUGCUCAAUAGCAUAUUUGAACAGGAAGCAGAAAGGAUCAGAAAAUCCAAAGAUAGGAUAGUUGAAAGUAUUUAGUAUAAGGAACAAAAAGGAAAAAAAAA
rnacentral:lncRNA from 1 species